AUAAUGAUACUUCCGGUGACGGCUGUCGCACAUGAAUGGGCAGAGGUGAGAGUCCUAUGU
rnacentral:ncRNA from 1 species